rnacentral:rRNA from 1 species
ACGAACGCUGGCGGCAUGCCUCACCCCUGCCAGUCGCACGAGACCUUCGGGUCUAGUGGCGCACGGGUGCGUAACGCGUGGGAACCUGCCCUUAGGUUCGGAAUAACUCCCCGAAAGGGGUGCUAAUACCGGAUAAUGUCUUCGGACCAAAGAUUUAUCGCCUUUGGAUGGGCCCGCGUUGGAUUAGCUAGUUGGUAGGGUAAAAGCCUACCAAGGCGACGAUCCAUAGCUGGUCUGAGAGGAUGAUCAGCCACACUGGGACUGAGACACGGCCCAGACUCCUACGGGAGGCAGCAGUGGGGAAUAUUGGACAAUGGGCGAAAGCCCGAUCCAGCAAUGCCGCGUGAGUGAUGAAGGCCUUAGGGUUGUAAAGCUCUUUUACCCGGGAUGAUAAUGACAGUACCGGGAGAAUAAGCGCCGGCUAACUCCGUG